GGGUGAGUAACGCGUAUCCAACCUGCCCUUCACCACGGAAUAAUCCAGUGAAAAUUGGUCUAAUACCGUAUGAGGUCAUACGAUGGCAUCAGAAUAUGACGAAAGGUUUGGCGGUGAAGGAUGGGGAUGCGUCUGAUUAGCUUGUUGGUGAGGUAACGGCUCACCAAGGCGACGAUCAGUAGGGGUUCUGAGAGGAAGGUCCCCCACAUUGGAACUGAGACACGGUCCAAACUCC
rnacentral:rRNA from 1 species